rnacentral:rRNA from 1 species
CAGUAGCCGCGGUAAUACGUAGGGUGCAAGCGUUAAUCGGAAUUACUGGGCGUAAAGCGUGCGCAGGCGGUUAUAUAAGACAGAUGUGAAAUCCCCGGGCUCAACCUGGGAACUGCAUUUGUGACUGUAUAGCUAGAGUACGGCAGAGGGGGAUGGAAUUCCGCGUGUAGCAGUGAAAUGCGUAGAUAUACGGAGGAACACCGAUGGCGAAGGCAAUCCCCUGGGCCUGUACUGACGCUCAUGCACGAAAGCGUGGGGAGCAAACAGGAUUAGAUACCCCAGUAGUCCCUGUCUCUUAUAC